rnacentral:rRNA from 1 species
UACGAAGGGGGCUAGCGUUGCUCGGAAUCACUGGGCGUAAAGGGUGCGUAGGCGGGUCUUUAAGUCAGAGGUGAAAGCCUGGAGCUCAACUCCAGAACCGCCUUUGAUACUGAAGAUCUUGAGUUCGGGAGAGGUGAGUGGAACUGCGAGUGUAGAGGUGAAAUUCGUAGAUAUUCGCAAGAACACCAGUGGCGAAGGCGGCUCACUGGCCCGAUACUGACGCUGAGGCACGAAAGCGUGGGGAGCAAACAGG